rnacentral:tRNA from 1 species
UAAAAUAUAGUAUUAAUAAAAAUGCCUUUUUUACAAUAAGGAGAUUAUUGAAUUUCAAUAUAUUUUAA